GGACGGGUGAGUAACGCGUGGGUAACCUGCCUUAUACAGGGGGAUAACAGUCAGAAAUGGCUGCUAAUACCGCAUAAGCGCACAGAGCUGCAUGGCUCAGUGUGAAAAACUCCGGUGGUAUAAGAUGGACCCGCGUUGGAUUAGCUGGUUGGUGGGGUAACGGCCCACCAAGGCGACGAUCCAUAGCCGGCCUGAGAGGGUGAACGGCCACAUUGGGACUGAGACACGGCCCAGACUCCUACGGGAGGCAGCAUG
rnacentral:rRNA from 1 species